UACGUAGGGGGCGAGCGUUGUCCGGAUUUACUGGGCGUAAAGCGCGUGUAGGCGGGACUUUAAGUCGGGUGUGAAAGCCCGGGGCUCAACCCCGGGAUGCCGCCCGAGACUGGAGCCCUUGAGGACGGAAGAGGGGAGUGGAAUUCCUGGUGUAGCGGUGAAAUGCGUAGAGAUCAGGAGGAACACCCGUGGCGAAGGCGGCUCCCUGGUCCGUUUCUGACGCUGAGACGCGAAAGCGCGGGGAGCGAACGGG
rnacentral:rRNA from 1 species